rnacentral:rRNA from 1 species
GUGUCAGCAGCCGCGGUAAGACGAAGGUGGCGAGCGUUGUUCGGAAUCACUGGGCAUAAAGCGCACGUAGGCGGCGAUGUAAGUCGGGUGUGAAAUCCCUCGGCCCAACCGAGGAACUGCGCCCGAAACUGCAUUGCUUGAGGAUCAAAGGGGUGCUCGGAAUUUCCGGUGGAGCGGUGAAAUGCGUUGAUAUCGGAAGGAACGUCGGCGGCGAAAGCGGAGCACUGGUUGAUUACUGACGCUGAGGUGCGAAAGCCAGGGGAGCAAACGGGAUUAGAUACCCCAGUAGUCC